GUGAGGAAUUUUCCGCAAUGGGCGAAAGCCUGACGGAGCAAUGCCGCGUGAAGGAUGAAGGCCUAUGGGUUGUAAACUUCUUUUCUUAGAGAAGAAUAUUGACGGUAUCUGAGGAAUAAGCAUCGGCUAACUCCGUGCCAGCAGCCGCGGUAAUACGGAGGAUCCAAGCGUUGUCCGGAUUUAUUGGGUUUAAAGGGUGCGUAGGCGGAUCUUUAAGUCAGUGGUGAAAGCCUGCAGCUUAACUGUAGAAUUGCCAUUGAAACUGAAGAUCUUGAAUGUGGUUAAAGUAGGCGGAAUGUAUCAUGUAGCGGUGAAAUGCUUAGAUAUGAUACAGAACACCGAUAGCGAAGGCAGCUUGCUGAACCAUUAUUGACGCUGAGGCACGAAAGCGUGGGGAGCGAACAGGAUUAGAUACCCGUGUAGUCC
rnacentral:rRNA from 1 species